AGAGUUUGAUCCUGGCUCAGAUUGAACGCUGGCGGCAGGCCUAACACAUGCAAGUCGAACGGUAGCACAGAGAGCUUGCUCUCGGGUGACGAGUGGCGGACGGGUGAGUAAUGUCUGGGAAACUGCCUGAUGGAGGGGGAUAACUACUGGAAACGGUAGCUAAUACCGCAUAACGUCGCAAGACCAAAGAGGGGGACCUUCGGGCCUCUUGCCAUCAGAUGUGCCCAGAUGGGAUUAGCUAGUAGGUGGGGUAAUGGCUCACCUAGGCGACGAUCCCUAGCUGGUUUGAGAGGAUGACCAGCCACACUGGAACUGAGACACGGUCCAGACUCCUACGGGAGGCAGCAGUGGGGAAUAUUGCACAAUGGGCGCAAGCCUGAUGCAGCCAUGCCGCGUGUAUGAAGAAGGCCUUCGGGUUGUAAAGUACUUUCAGCGGGGAGGAAGGUGUUGUGGUUAAUAACCGCAGCAAUUGACGUUACCCG
rnacentral:rRNA from 1 species